AUCCUCAAAACAUAUUGCAGUGCCUCAGGUCAGAGGAUAAAUGUGGACAAGUCUUCCAUCUUCUUCAGUAAGGGUGUGCCCGACUCCACAAAGGGCACUAUCAAGGAUAUCCUAGAUGUCCAUAAUGAAUCCUUAUCAGAAAAAUACCUUGGUUUGCCUUCUGAUGUGGGUAGAGCAAAAGAAGGGUGAUUUAAAUACCUAAAGGACAAGAAUUUGGAAGCGAGUUCAAGGGUGGAUGGAGAAGUGCAUAUCAGCGGGAGGUAA
rnacentral:rRNA from 1 species